AAGUGGAGAAGGGUUCCAUGUGAACAGCAGUUGAACAUGGGUCAGUCGGUCCUAAGGGAUAGGCGAAGGCCGUUCGGAAGGGGGGGGCGAUGGCCUCCGUCGCCCCCGUGUCGAUCGAAAGGGAAUCGGGUCCAGAUCCCCGAACCCGGAGUGGCGGAGACGGGCGCCGCGAGGCGCCCAGUGCGGUAACGCAAACGAACCCGGAGAAGCUGGCGGGGGCCCCGGGAAGAGUUCUCUUUUCUUUGUGAAGGGCCGGGCGCCCUGGAAUGGGUUCGUCCCGAGAUAGGGGCCCACGCCCUGGAAAGCGCCGCGGUUCCGGCGGCGUCCGGUGAGCUCUCGUCGGCCCUUGAAAAUCCGGGGGAGAAGGUGUAAGUCUCGCGCCGGGCCGUACCCAUAUCCGCAGCAGGUCUCCAAGGUGAACAGCCUCUGGCAUGUUGGAUCAAGGCAUGUAAGGGAAGUCGGCAAGUCAAAUCCGUAACUUCGGGAUAAGGAUUGGCUCU
rnacentral:rRNA from 1 species